UGACCGCGACCAGAUGUGUCCACUAGCUCCUCCCUUUGGGGACGCAGUGCCCGUCAGUUUAACUGUGGCAGCCUCCUGUUGCCGUAGCGAGUUUGAGUUUGGUGUAUCCUUUAGAUGUAGGCUUUUGGAGAAAUAAAACCUCCACCAGUUACUGGAAUCAGUCUUUUCAUUCGAAGGUUUUCUACCAACACCACCGGACGCGCCACUUUUGCUCAUUUCCGAUCACGAGCAAGUCCACCACGUACAAAGUGGUGUCCGCUGAAAUGGGAUAAGCUCACCUUUACGUCCGGUUGACACGUUUCCGUCUGCCGAUUGUUGCCCCUUCAAUCUGAUGGAUACGAGCUGGCAGAGCCUAUUGGCCUGGUAGUUAGUAUGUAACCUGGGCCAUGGUAGGGAACUUCGACAUCCUGUUUGCGCCUGAAUGCGCACACUGUGCAGUCGAUGCGUGUCAGCGCGUGCCGAACGUACCGUUAAUGCAUUAGGCCGUAGACGACGUCUUUGCUGCGUGGGCGUGCUCUCCCGGGCCGCGCCACGCUUCUGCAGCAGUCUUCGUAUCGUUGCGGGCGCAGUCUGACGCACGCCACCGACCACGCCGCUCCUGCGUACUGUCCUGUCUUCUCGUCGCUCCGCCGAGGGCCCAUGCAGCCUCACCGCCGCACGCAAAUGUCGCUGCCGCCGCCCCGUCAUCUCGACAUCCGGCGCUGCCGUACCGGUAGUCCGCCGGCACCAUCGCCUUCGCCGCUGCCUCCGUCGAUACACGACGUGGGUUUGUCACCGAAGAACUACCGACGCCGCCUACGAGAGUCACUGAUCCAGCGCGGACGAGCUGAGCACAAGUAAAUGAAGUACGAAAACGCACGAGGAUUCGCAUUUGGAACAGAGCUCCGUCCUCGAGUGUUACAGUCGCCUAUGAUCUGCGAAGCCUGCUCACCGAGCCUGCCCAUCACCCGACGACAACACCAGCCCUGUCGGUUUCGACCGCAGCCCUACAUCGCGGCGCCCAAGCCCUGCCGCGCACCACUCAGGCGCUGUCUGACUGACCGCUCCGGCCUUCGUCGUUCUCCUGACGACGCUCUCACUCCGACGGCUUCGCAUCAGCAAGCCCACAUCAACACUCAACUUACAUGGCCAAUUCAAUGAAAUUAUGCUUAAUUUUGUUUAAUUUUGCAAGAAGUUCUAUGUGGUCAUUUACACUUGAAUUUCACAAA